CCGACUCCUACGGGAGGCAGCAGUGAGGAAUAUUGGUCAAUGGUCGAGAGACUGAACCAGCCAAGUCGCGUGAAGGAAGACGGCUCUAUGAGUUGUAAACUUCUUUUGUACAGGAGUAAAGUGAGACACGCGUGUUUUAUUGCAAGUACUGUACGAAUAAGCAUCGGCUAACUCCGUGCCAGCAGCCGCGGUAAUACGGAGGAUGCAAGCGUUAUCCGGAUUUAUUGGGUUUAAAGGGUGCGUAGGCGGUAUUACAAGUCAGGGGUGAAAUCUUGGUGCUUAACAUUAAAAUUGCCUUUGAAACUGUGGUACUUGAGUGUAAAA
rnacentral:rRNA from 1 species